rnacentral:rRNA from 1 species
GGCCUUCGGGUUGUAAACUUCUUUGAUUGGGGGGGAAGGAAGUGACGGUACCCAAAGAACAAGCCCCGGCUAACUACGUGCCAGCAGCCGCGGUAAUACGUAGGUGGCGAGCGUUGUCCGGAAUUACUGGGUGUAAAGGGCGCGUAGGCGGGGAUGCAAGUCAGAUGUGAAAUUCCGGGGCUUAACCCCGGCGGUGCAUUUGAAACUGUAUCUCUUGAGUGCUGGAGAGGAAAGCGGAAUUCCUAGUGUAGCGGUGAAAUGCGUAGAUAUUAGGAGGAACACCAGUGGCGAAGGCGGCUUUCUGGACAGUAACUGACGCUGAGGCGCGAAAGCGUGGGGAGCAAACAGGAUUAGAUACCCUGGUAGUCCACGCCGUAAACGAUGGAUACUAGGUGUAG